ACUCCUACGGGAGGCAGCAGUGGGGAAUAUUGCACAAUGGGGGAAACCCUGAUGCAGCCAUGCCGCGUGUGUGAAGAAGGCCUUCGGGUUGUAAAGCACUUUUCAGUAGGGAGGAAGGUAGUGUAGUUAACACCUGCACUAUUUGACGUUACCUACAGAAGAAGCACCGGCUAACUCCGUGCCAGCAGCCGCGGUAAUACGGAGGGUGCGAGCGUUAAUCGGAAUUACUGGGCGUAAAGCGCAUGCAGGCGGCCUGUUAAGUCAGAUGUGAAAGCCCGGGGCUUAACCUCGGAAUUGCAUUUGAAACUGGCAGGCUAGAGUCUUGUAGAGGGGGGUAGAAGUUUCAGGUGUAGCGGUGAAAUGCGUAGAGAUCUGAAGGAAUACC
rnacentral:rRNA from 1 species